rnacentral:lncRNA from 11 species
CUCUAACCACUAAGAAUAACUUCCUCCACUUUUUCCCUUUAGAAAAGUUGUGUAUCUCUUUAACUACUGUCUUCACCUCCCAAAAGGAAUUUAUAAAUGGACCACUACUUUCCCCUUGCUCCUCCUCCUUUCUUUUUAAAAUUCCUUUGUUGUCUGAAGUGGGUUAUUGUAGGUAGAGGAAGGGUUUUUUUUGUUUUGUUUCAGAGAGAUGGUUUCCGUUUGCUUGGAAAGGAGGCCUAGAUAAAAAUCUCAAAUGAGCUCAGCAAAUUCAUAGAUUUAAGAUUUUAAAGUAGAACUGGAAAAAAUAGUUUCUGAGUUAUUAUUCCUUUUUAAAGGGGCAGGAUAAAGGAGAGUUGCUAGUUUGGUUGAUUAAAGCUGAGUAUAGGAAAAGAUAGAUAUGGGGAAGAAUUAAAAACACCAAUAAGUUUUCCCCAAACAAGAGCUUUUUGUUCUAUUUGGCUCCUAAAUUGCAGGUUAAUAGAUCAAUUAAGUAAACAAUGGGAAACAGUUAAACAUUUCUAUACUAAAAAAAGACUGGAUUGUGGACUGAUGUUCUUGGUGGGUUUAUGUCCUCUUGCCUGGCGACCAAGGAGAAAAUUGUCCUCUGUACUUCCUCUUGUUGUUACUUAUUGAUGAGGAAAGAAAUGUUGCAGUUGGUUGUCCAGGCUCUUCAUGUUGAGUUUGGCCAACUUGAUAGACUGCAAGACUUCAAAUGAAAUGUACUAAACUCCACCUGAAUUUCACAAACGUUUAGCAAAUCAUGUCCAACCUGGAGAAAGAAGAACUCUCCAAUGCAAUUAUCCUCUAUCUUAGAAGUCUUGGGAUUCAUGUCCAGCCUUGGAAGAUCAGCUCUAGCGAGGUUCCUUGCUGAUGCUUGUGAGUUGCUCCGGCCACACCUUCACGUUGAAGGACUUUUCCGGAAAUGUGGAUCAACGACACGCAUCAAGGCUUUAAAGGUAACAUUUGAAAUUGCACUGUGGUGGCUUGAAAGGAGAUCUCCGCGGUGCUGAACCUAUUUGUGUAUAGG